UACGUAGGGGGCAAGCGUUGUCCGGAUUUAUUGGGCGUAAAAGGCUUGUAGGUGGCCACGCCAAGUCGGAUGUGAAAUCUCCCGGCUCAACUGGGAGGGGUCAUUCGAUACUGGCGGGCUCGAGGCCGGUAGGGGGAAGUGGAAUUCCCGGUGUAGUGGUGGAAUGCGUAGAUAUCCGGAGGAACACCAGUGGCGAAGGCGACACGCUGGGCCGUACCUGACACUGAUGCGCGACAGCAUGGGGAGCAAACAGG
rnacentral:rRNA from 1 species